GGGAUUUUACACGGACCAUAUAUAUUUCUCCCCCCGCAUUCACUCUCUUCUUCAGCACAUUCCGACGCUAGUAACAGAGCUCUCCAUCAACGACCUCUUCCCUUUUGAGUGUUCGUUGCCGAAAUCGCUAGAUCAUUAGCAGGCAAUCGGAGGGAGAGAGAGAGCAGAAUCGAAAGAAGUUUCUCGCCUCGUCUCGGUGAUGAAAAAUAGAGAAGAGAGCAGGACGACGAACUCUUAUGUGAUUGAGAUUUGUUCCGAUAACAGAGAGGGGAAAAACAAGGCAGUUGGUCUUGUCAUUGAGGCCGGUUGGAUUUUCGCAUCUGCUAGGAAUACUGAUCCAUGGUGUGCGGGAGGUGAUUUUAAUGUUUCUCAUUGGGUCCAGAGCGUCAUCAUACUAGAACGCAUACCAAGGGAAUGAAGAAUUUUUUAAAAAUCAUUGAGGAGACUGAUUUGAUGAAAACUUCCCUUUUGGUGUGGAAGGAAAUAGAGUGUUUUGAUGCUGAAGCUGCGAGUUAGGAUCUUUGUAAGAGCUAAACAUUCUACCCAUUGGUUUUUGGUUGGAUAACUAUUUAGUUUUUGACAGUAAAAAUUAAGCCGGUAAUACUAAGAGAGUACAGAGAAUACAGAAAGUACAAAUUCUUUAGCCAAUAUUCUCCUUACAUUUUUUCUAUCCUGUUCUUUGUAUUCAUCUGGAUCGAGUGUGUGCGUUAUUGUGCGAUCCUACAACUGGUACCAGAGCUAGGUGGAAGUCACCACGAUCUGUGAAGAUGGAAAUUCAAAGAUUGGAAUUGAGAAGUUCGAUGGAUCCAAUUUCGAUUUUUGGAAGAUGCAAAUUGAAGAUUAUCUACACCAGAAAGAUCUUCACGAAUCCCUGUUGGGGGUGAAGCCAAAUACCAUGACCAUAGAACAGUGGAAGCUCAAGACAAGCCUUAAGAUUGAUCCGGUUGACGCUAUCUAGAAACGUGGCGUUCAACAUUAUCAAGGAAAAGACAACGUUAGAUCUAUUGAAGGUGUUGUCGAAUAUGUACGAAGAACCGUCGGCUAUGAACAAGGUGUAUUUGAUGCGAAGAUUGUUCAAUCUACAAAGGUAGAUUUGUUGUUGAUCAUGUUAAUGAAUUCAAUAGGACUAUAAGUCUUCUAUAUUCUCUAUAUUUUCUCUCACUGUACAUACUUGGAGUCAUCAAUACAA